rnacentral:misc_RNA from 1 species
GCAAACUUGGUCAUUUAGAGGAAGUAAAAGUCGUAACAAGGUUUCCGUAGGUGAACCUGCGGAAGGAUCAUUAUCGAAUUGUUAAAACUUGGUUGUCGCUGGCUUUCUCCCUCCUGUGGGGGCGAUUGCAUGUGCACGCCAAGUUCAAACUCUUCAUUCUAACCUCCUGUGCACUUUUGUGGAUCGUGGAUGGGAUAAAUUUUGUCAAAGUAACAUUUGGAUUUGGGGAUUGCAGUUUGCUUUCCUCUACUAUUUCUCCACGAUUCAUGUCCUUCACUACAAACUAUUUAAAAAUAAACAUAGAAUGCUUCACAAGUUGGGACUUUAGUGACCCUUCUUGAAAAUAUUAUACAACUUUCAACAACGGAUCUCUUGGCUCUCGCAUCGAUGAAGAACGCAGC